rnacentral:rRNA from 1 species
GGGGGACCUUCGGGCCUCUUGCCCUCGGAUGUGCCCAGAUGGGAUUAGCUAGUAGGUGGGGUAACGGCUCACCUAGGCGACAAUCCCUAUCUGGUCUGAGAGGAUGACCAGCCCCACUGGAACUGAGACACGGUCCAAACUCCUACAGGAGGCAGCAGUGGGGAAUAUUGCACAAUGGGCGCAAGCCUGAUGCAGCCCUGCCGCGUGUAUGAAGAAGGCCUUCGGGUUGCUAAAGUACUUUCAUCGGGGAGGAAGGGAGUAAAGUUAAUACCUUUGCUCAUUGACGUUACCCCCACAAGAAGCACCGGCUAAUUCCGUGCCAUCAGCCGCGGUAAUACUGAAGGUGCAAGCGUUAAUCGGAAUUACUGGGCGUAAAGCGCACCCAUGCGGUUUGUUAAUUCAGAUGAGGAAAUCCCCCGGCUAAUC